AGCCAGACUCCUACGGGAGGCAGCAGUGGGGGAUAUUGCACAAUGGGGGCAACCCUGAUGCAGCGACGCCGCGUGAGCGAUGGAGUACUUCGGUAUGUAAAGCUCUGUCAGCAGGGAAGAGAAUGACGGUACCUGACCAAGAAGCCACGGCUAACUACGUGCCAGCAGCCGCGGUAAUACGUAGGUGGCAAGCGUUGUCCGGAAUUACUGGGUGUAAAGGGAGCGCAGGCGGGAAGCCAAGUCAGCUGUGAAAACUACGGGCUUAACUUGUAGACUGCAGUUGAAACUGGUUUUCUUGAGUGAAGUAGAGGUUGGCGGAAUUCCGAGUGUAGCGGUGAAAUGCGUAGAUAUUCGGAGGAACACCGGUGGCGAAGGCGGCCAACUGGGCUUUAACUGACGCUGAGGCUCGAAAGUGUGGGGAGCAAACAGGAUUAGAUACCCUAGUA
rnacentral:rRNA from 1 species